CCGCGGAUAAUCUGCGGGUGCUGUCCGGUGACGGGGUAGUAGGGUAGGUGUGAGCGUCGGUAUGUGUGUUGUGUGACAGGCAGGCAGGCUGGCUGCCUCUCGCUUCCGUGUGUGGCGAAGGAGGAGGAAACGAGCCGCGCCGCGAAGGGCGCUUGUUCCUAUACAGCAGUAGGAGUCGCCGAGGGUACCUCGCCGUGGUGAGGUAGCUGCGCGUCGAGGCGGAGGAGCGGGGGCCGUUCCAGAGGCUCCUGCUGUUCGAGCAGCUCAUGCUGCGGGAGGAGCAGCUGGCGAAGGAGCUGUAGGAGGUCCUGGAGGUGCCGGGCGUGGAGGCGCUCAAGCACGUCCUGACGAUGCUCCACCGCCGCCUCAUGCUCCCGCUGGCGCUGCGCCGGGCCGACCUGCUCGAGCCCCCGUCCGAGUGCCCCGACCGGGGGCGGCUGAGGUAGCAGUACCGGUCGAGGAAGAGGGUGUACGAGUUGGACCGGUUGGAGCGGCUCCUCCACGUCUAGCGCUUGGCGGCGUCCUUGUUCGAGUUCGCGCCGCUGAAGCGGCUGCUCCGGAGGCGGUGGUGGCUCAGGCUGUAGCUCCUCUGCGAGUUCUCCGACCACAGACUGGACCCGUUCUGGGCCCUCCUCCACAAGCUGCGCGAGUUCUUGGUCUGGCAGCUGGAGCAGAAGUGGCGGGUGGGGUGCGUCAGGUAGGCCGCCAGUGAGGAGGUCUUCGUGCCGUCCUAUGCCUUAACGGACUCCGUCGACAUACGGUUCCUGUAGUGCCGGCUGCUGUUCGUUCUCGAGCUACUCCGAGAAGUCUCUCUCUAAGUUCGACGAAAGGCUUGACUGCUUUAGGCCUCUUGUGUCGGGUGAGGUGUCCUACUUUACGCACGGCCCUACUCAAUGAAGGUACUUUGAUAUACCUUCCCACAUGGGUUCAAGAAUGCGGCACACCUGUGUCGAGAAUUCUUGUAACCUUAGCUACUCGCAGAAGGUAUGUUACGAGGAGAGUAAGUCAAGAGAAGAACCUACCCACCACUGGCACUACCUUUAGGGUCUCAAUGUGGUCUCCACUGUUCCCUACAUACGGACAACCGGUCUUACUACCGACGAUUGAACGUGAAGAGUGUCUAUCUUCUCGAGUACAAACUCGAGAGCUACACCGCUACGUUGCUACUUGAGGCACAGGCACGACUCCUUGAUGUGGCGCGAAGUUCCUUUCGACUUUUUGUAAUGUAUCUCAAGACCUUCGUUCAAGGGGGUUGACUUGGAAUGGCACACUAUGACCCGAUACAUGCCCUGUUUGACAUGAUGUGUGCGCUUGCAAGGGCGGUAGAAGAGUGGUCACCCAGAAGACUGUAGGGGCACCUGAGGUGGAAGUGGCUACAGCUUGUCAAAGACCUCGGGGAGCUCGACACGAUGGCUAGUGACACGCUAACGCCGCUGUUCUGGCAGCGGCUGCCCUCGGAGGAGCUGAAGGAGGCAGUCCACAGGUGGAAGCCGGACAGGGAGCAGUUCGAGCUGUAGGCCGUCCUUAGGCUGGCCGUGUGGCUGCGCGAACUGCGCUAGUGGCGCGUGGAGCCGUAGCCGAGCAUGGCGAGCACCGGGCUCCUCUUCGCCGUCCUCACCGACGACAGCCUCGACUCCCCGUCCGCGGGCGACAAGCCGCCGCUGGAGGGGUACUGGCUCCUCCACCGGCUGCAGGAGCCGUGCAAGGCGCAGGAGCGGCUCGAGGGCGGCCUGACGAAGCCGCGGAUGUAGUAGAGGUACCGCUGCCGCGGCAGGCUGCACGAGCGGCAGCUCGAGGAGGUCGCCCUCACGGUGCACCCCGUGGGGGAGUCCCACCAGGGCGACAAGCUCUUUGACCGGCUGGACCUCCGCCGGGGGCGCCGGCAGCGCGCCGAGAAGAGCUAGCUGACCAUGUACCUGGCCUAGCCGCCGUUCGUCCUCCAGUACUAGCCGAUGAGGCUGAGGCCGUUCCUGCGGCCGGCGGACAGGCGCCGCACCGUUGACAUGUUCCGCGUCCUCCUCGACCAGUUCCACCGCUUCGUCAUGCCCCACUUCGACUGGUACAAGGUGCCCGCUCCGCCGUGCCAGCCGUCCCCGCCGCCCGGCUGGGUGGACCGGUAUGACAGGGUCGGCGGCCUCUGCCACUUGCCCAGCGAGGCGCACUGCCACGUCCCGCUCCACUAGCUCGUGAGCAAGCCGCUCCUCGUGGAGACGAAGGCCUGAGACGUCGCCAAGUGGCGCCGGUGGGACCUCGUGCCGUACGUGGGCGGCCAGAGGGGGUUCGGGCUCACCGCGCGGGAGUACCUGCUCUACCGGCAGCACCGGUGGCUCCUCAUGGCGCGGUACCAGAAGUUUCUUGGUGCUAAGCAGCUCAUGAAGUCUAGCCGCUGUGGACUCUGACUCAUGCCGUCCUACUUGUAGCCGUCGGCCGGCAGCUUCUCCUUCGGCUCGCCGCCGUAGCUCUGCGACGCGCGGUAGGGCACCUAGAAGCGGACCUGCGUCUGCUCCAAGGUGGAGGGGCACACCGAGCCCAAGCCGCGGCGCAAGUUCGUGUAGUACGUGUUCCUGUAGUCCUUGCAGGUCCGGGAGUCCCUCUACAUGUUGCUCACCGGGAAGAAGUCCCAGUGCGAUCUGGACGACCUCUACCACAAGCGGUUCCCUCUGGGGCCCUAGCGGCGCGAGAUGCUGCUCGACGAGCAGCGGCUGCUCGACUUCGGGGAGCCCCUCGUCGACUCCUCGUUGAUGCUCCUGUGGUUCUUCGACGAGCAGGUCCAACGACCGGUAUCCCUACACGAACUUCUGCUGGGCAUGGACUUCGUUGCCGACGCCGACGCACUGGGCAUGUAGUGGUGGGACUUGCACACGGUCCGGAUGUGCGACUUCGCCUAGUCCCUGGGGUCGAAGGUCCACUGCCGCGUCGGCGGCGACAGGUUCCUCAAGUGGCUGCUCUUGGUCGGCCGCAGCGACCACUUCGAGUUGCGCCGCUCGCUCAUGCGCGGCCCCGACCUCCUGUGCGAGUAGGAGUGGUACUUCCCGUAGCGGCGGCCGUACGUCUUGUGCCCGAUCUAAGUCUAACGGUUCCAAAAACAACACACAAAUUUAGAAGAUAUGCAUGCCUCACGACUUCCGUGGUCGACGGUGGACCUAAGGAGCCAAGGGGGCCCACUGGCCCAGUGACGCGGAAGAAAAACAAAACCUCUUUAUUUUCCACUUUUAUUACAUAUCUACGCACUGACUACAUAUUUGUCAUAUUUUAGAAGACACGCCGAUUACUGCGUAUUUGAGUUAUAUAUGAGAAAG
rnacentral:rRNA from 1 species